UGCAUCUCCCAGAUGCAGAGGCCGGGGGUCAAUCCUCCUUUUCUUAAAAAAAAGUAUGUGGUAGUCCAUUUAAAAUCUCUAAAAAGACUUAUAUUUAAGAACGAAUGGAGUAUAUGUGAAUCCUUAGCAGUAAACACUUGAAAUCCAUCCAAAAUCAAAUAAUGAAUAUUUUUACCUUAAAAUUUUCUUUUAAGAUUCCUAUAUCCAAAUACGUUGAUGAAGAGGUAUCAAUAUCAGUCCCAUUCACAUUUUAUCUACACGCAAAAAGUUACUAAACGAUUUAACCUCUCAUGGGACACUUUACAAACCUCACAUCACUUUUCCUCAAUAUAUAGCUCUGUACAAGAUGCACAUGCUAUUUCCAGUAGGGCAAUAACCACAUAAGGUAGAGCUCGAGCACAAAUGGACCCGUUAUCUGGGCGGUUCGUUAUGGCAUCGGGAUACGACGGGAUCCACUCCAUUGGCCAUGUCACGUGCGCCGUGAACCCUGGACGGUGGGCCAUGUUAGUGACGGAGCUAGAACGCCGUGGACGGAUCAAAGCAGAGCCGUGGCACAUGACGUUAUGUCCUUCCCGAUCCAUCGCCCAGGAAACUUCCUUUCUGGUUACCGGGACAGGCACUGAGUAAAUGCAGGGAUGGUGAGCUCGCUAGGGUUGUCUCCUACCUCCGCUGCCUGGAUUAGUCACUUGCGGAAGCGGCGGAGCUCAUCGGCGAUUCUCGUGCGCGAUCAGGGCCGAUCGGAACGGCCAAAAAUUGAGUUCCUUAUGCAGGUGAUUAAGAGGACCACCGUGCUGGAAGAGGUGAACGGCAGCGAUAUUCUGAUGCAGCCGCGAUACUACCCAGUGUCGCGCCUAUGGUUGAGCUGGGUGCGAAUGGCCAGAUCUGUACCCGCUGAAGGGGCGGCGGGUGGAGGCCGAGAAGGGUCAGAGCACUAUUAGACAGAUCAACCCUAUAGCUCUUGGGUGGAAAAGAAGAGUGAGGAUAGCUACUGCUGUGUCGGGAAGGACGCCAUGUCCUAACCAGACUACUGCUCUGGAGAAGGCUAUCCCUGGUCUGCCAAUAAUCCUGGGGACAAUGGCAUAGUGCCAACUUUGGGUAGAAGCUUUGAUUAUGUUAUUUGAAGCCUACGACUUCUACAACUUGUAUUCGUGGGAGAAACGAUUUGGCAUUAUAUACGAAAAAGGACAGGGGGAGGCCGGGGUUGAGAACACUCAGUCGUGCCGUUGAGAAUGCCCUGCUCUCAUCAGGUUGUUGAGAUCCAAGGUCAAUGGUUGGUACAUAGCAGAACACCGUGAGGAGCACAACCACUCCUCGUCUCCUAUGUUUGGACAAAGAAUACACUGACCAUCGCCACAAGCACAUUGAUUUAUACAUUUGAGACCUGGUAAAAUAGCAUCAUGGUAAGUUUCUUUGGAUCCAUGGAGAAUGUGCCAUUCACAGAAAGAGCCAUAAGGAACUUGUGUGGGAAAAUUAGCCGUGAUCAGGCCGAGGAUGAUUUGAGGAAGACUAUGGAAGUGUUUGCGGAGCUUGGUUCAAAGGAUCAGCACUUCACAUAUAGCGCGGAAGCUGACAAAGAGGGGAGGAUCAGCAGUCUGAUGUGGGCAAAUGGAAUAGCCAAUUGCAGUACACAUUCUUUGGUGAUGUCAUAACCUUCGAUACGACCUACAGGACAAACAUGUAUAAUAUUCCCUUUGGCUUGUUUGUCGGCAUGAACAACCAUUUUCAGAGCAUCGUAGCAUCGGUUUUGGUUCGUGAUGAGAAGGUUGAAAGCUUUUUGGGUUUCAAGUGAAUUUCUGAGGAGCUUGCAGCACAUUGUUGGGCGGGCUGGGCAGGCCAAACUGAGAUUGCCUCGUCCCGUGGGUUGGCUGUAAUAGGAGCAGGUGCUGCAAAGCUGGGCGGGCCAUGACCGAUGUAGCCUCUCUGAAGCUCCGCUGGUGUAUCUAUGCUUAAAGUGGUACAUUAACUUGUGUGGUUCUGUUUUACAGGGGAGACCUGUAAUGAGAACUAACUUGGCCAUAGAGAGACAUGCUGGGAAGAUAUAUACAAGAGCAAUGUUCGAGCAAUUUGGACAUAUUCUACAUGAGUGCGAUGCUUACGAGGUUGAGGAGAUCAAGAAAGGGAAGCUGUACGCUACCAUGCACACUGAAGCAGAAAGGAGAGAGAAAUGGUGUGGGGUCUCAUAUAAAGUGUGCUCAGUGGAGGAGAGGAGUGUGAGUGUAGUCAAUUCGCUCACAUGGAAGUACUCUACAGUCAUGUGCUGAAGGUAUGUAAUCAUGAGGUACUGGACUUCAUCCGCAUUAAGGAAAUUCCGCAGAAGCACAUAGUGAAGAGAGGCCCACGUCAUCUUACGCACUACCAGAAAGAUCAUGCCCACAGAAAUCCUUUUAGCUAUGGACAUUUCAAUAUGUAUAUGCAUGCCAUGGAGCCCUGUCCGUUUGGGUGACACAAGUGUUGAGGCUUAUGACCGUCUGAUUUCUCUUUUCAAGAACUGCAUGGUGGAAAUGCAACCUUUUGUGGAGAUUAGGAAUGGGCUUGGACUGGAAGACAGUAUUCUGAAAACGGUGAUGUUGUGAAUCAAAUUCAGACUGAAGGGGCACUUGUCAUUGCUGGGAACAGAGGAUAAAAUAGCCUUGGCAACGAUGAUGUUAAUUCAACAAAUGAGUCUGGGAAUAGAUUGGCAGGACUUUUGCCACCGACAAAGAGGAAGGAGAUGGGCAGGCCUGCGACCAGCAGUAGGAAGUGCCUUAUGAAGGGUUGAGGAAGAGGACCAUGUUUUGCACUACUUGCCGGCGACAGGGAAACAAAAAGACUACGUACCCAAACCGCGGAGAUGUGCCAUAGCAGGCUAGAAGACCGCCCGAUGCAAGAACUGUGGAGUCGAAGGCCACCGGUAGAACAAUUGCAACAAAGCAGCGGAGCUAUGUCUGAAAGAGAGUUGACUGAAAAAGUAGGGAUGUACCUGGGACAAUACCUGCAUGGUUAGGAUAAAUGGUUUAUGUGUAUGACAAUUUGCAGAUAAUGCAGACUGUUUGUUGUAGCUUGUGUCCUCAUGCUGAAGCUGCAAAUUUCCUUUGCGUGUGUUGAUACAAGUGUGUCUGAAUGUAUUUCUUUGAUACUUCCUGAGUGGAACUAGUCUGAAUAAAUAGAUUGUGGUCCGA